GCGCGAAAGAAGAAGAAAAUAUGGACAUAUAGCGAGAGUGGUCCACGAAGCCGAAGCGUCCUGCGAAGACGCUAUUUUUCGACCCUUCCCGGCGCACAAAGGAGUCGUUGCAGCCGUCAGCGGUUCGAACUCCUCCAAUCAGGACCCACCGCGGGUUGCUGUGCGAAUUCCGACGAAUGGACGAGAGGCACCUGCAUCAGGCGAUCCCGGUGAAGUGGCUCAUCGGCGCCGCUCCGGCGGCGCCACCGGAUGUAACCCGAACAUGACUCGCCGUCGGGCCCGGCCAAUUCACUCGGCGCCCGGCUUCAGCCGCAUGGCGAGCUGUUUGUCGGGAGCUCUGGCACAACGGCGUGCAAGAAUCUUCCACACCUUCAAGUUUGCCACAAAAUUAUAGGAACGUUAGGGGAGAAACCAAGUUGGGCGCAGUGCAACGCAGCGCAGGAACUACCGAGCUACCACCUCCCCGAUGUGACGCCGUGUUCGCCUUUGGAUUGCCAGCAAUUCCUUCAGCUUGUGGCAAUGGGCCCGCUUUAUUUCUUCGCGAGUAUUAGCCUGUACUCACCCCUACCUGGUCUUCCACAUCGCCGUAUGCAUCGCAAGAGCGCUUCUUAAGUCUCUACCGCCCCCGCUCAGUGGACUUGGAAGUAUACUUCAGUGAUGCAGCCGCCUUAAACACCAUUCUGCUUUGUCGUGCAGGGGAGGGGGCACCUCCUGAAUAAUUUCCACUGCUUCGGGUUCUUUAUCGGGCACCCAAAGUAUGGUACACCAGCGUUCGAGUUCACGUUUCACCCACCCCCAUUGGAAUGCGGCAGCCGGGGCCAGGAGUCGAACACUCGACUUUGCACGCGGCAGCAGAAAGCCACGGCCACUGAGUCAACGCGGCGGGCCCGAGCAGAUAACAAUAACAUACAAUCGGUCCUUCGUACAGACCAAUCAUGUUGGGGUUUUGCCCUAAAAUUAAAAUUUAACACGGCAGUUUACUCAUGACAGUUGACUGAUUUAUACACUAACAGCGAAUGGCCUUACUGCAAGAAUGACAGCUAACGUCCUGGUGGAUGCACCGUUGCAAGCUGUACUGAUCCACCAAGGUACAAGCUUAGGAAACCUUACUUUCGUACUAUGCACGGUAGGCGUGACUUGGCUUCUUUUCUUUUUUCUAGAAA